UGCUGGAGGUAUCAGAAGUGCGAAUGCUGACAUAAGUAACGAUAAAGCGGGUGAAAAGCCCGCUCGCCGGAAGACCAAGGGUUCCUGUCCAACGUUAAUCGGGGCAGGGUGAGUCGACCCCUAAGGCGAGGCCGAAAGGCGUAGUCGAUGGGAAACAGGUUAAUAUUCCUGUACUUGGUGUUACUGCGAAGGGGGGACGGAGAAGGCUAUGUUAGCCGGGCGACGGUUGUCCCGGUUUAAGCAUGUAGGCGGAGGUUCCAGGUAAAUCCGGUACCUUUUAACGCUGAGGUGUGAUGACGAGGCACUACGGUGCUGAAGUAACAAAUGCCCUGCUUCCAGGAAAAGCCUCUAAGCAUCAGGUAACAUUAAAUCGUACCCCAAACCGACACAGGUGGUCAGGUAGAGAAUACCAAGGCGCUUGAGAGAACUCGGGUGAAGGAACUAGGCAAAAUGGUGCCGUAACUUCGGGAGAAGGCACGCUGGUGUGUAGGUGAAGUCCCUGCGGACGGAGCUGAGACCAGUCGAAGAUACCAGCUGGCUGCAACUGUUUAUUAAAAACACAGCACUGUGCAAACACGAAAGUGGACGUAUACGGUGUGACGCCUGCCCGGUGCCGGAAGGUUAAUUGAUGGGGUUAUCCGUAAGGAGAAGCUCUUGAUCGAAGCCCCGGUAAACGGCGGCCGUAACUAUAACGGUCCUAAGGUAGCGAAAUUCCUUGUCGGGUAAGUUCCGACCUGCACGAAUGGCGUAAUGAUGGCCAGGCUGUCUCCACCCGAGACUCAGUGAAAUUGAACUCGCUGUGAAGAUGCAGUGUACCCGCGGCAAGACGGAAAGACCCCGUGAACCUUUACUAUAGCUUGACACUGAACAUUGAGCCUUGAUGUGUAGGAUAGGUGGGAGGCUUUGAAGCGUGGACGCCAGUCUGCGUGGAGCCAACCUUGAAAUACCACCCUUUAAUGUUUGAUGUUCUAACGUUGGCCCCUUAUCGGGGUUGCGGACAGUGUCUGGUGGGUAGUUUGACUGGGGCGGUCUCCUCCCAAAGAGUAACGGAGGAGCACGAAGGUUAGCUAAUCCUGGUCGGACAUCAGGAGGUUAGUGCAAUGGCAUAAGCUAGCUUGACUGCGAGCGUGACGGCGCGAGCAGGUGCGAAAGCAGGUCAUAGUGAUCCGGUGGUUCUGAAUGGAAGGGCCAUCGCUCAACGGAUAAAAGGUACUCCGGGGAUAACAGGCUGAUACCGCCCAAGAGUUCAUAUCGACGGCGGUGUUUGGCACCUCGAUGUCGGCUCAUCACAUCCUGGGGCUGAAGUAGGUCCCAAGGGUAUGGCUGUUCGCCAUUUAAAGUGGUACGCGAGCUGGGUUUAGAACGUCGUGAGACAGUUCGGUCCCUAUCUGCCGUGGGCGCUGGAGAAUUGAGGGGGGCUGCUCCUAGUACGAGAGGACCGGAGUGGACGCAUCACUGGUGUUCGGGUUGUCAUGCCAAUGGCACUGCCCGGUAGCUAAAUGCGGAAGAGAUAAGUGCUGAAAGCAUCUAAGCACGAAACUUGCCCCGAGAUGAGUUCUCCCUGAGACUUUAAGUCUCCUGAAGGAACGUUGAAGACGACGACGUUGAUAGGCCGGGUGUGUAAGCGCAGCGAUGCGUUGAGCUAACCGGUACUAAUGAACCGUGAGGCUUAACCUUACAACGCCGAAG
rnacentral:rRNA from 1 species